rnacentral:rRNA from 1 species
AUUGAACGCUGGCGGCAGGCCUAACACAUGCAAGUCGAACGAGUGGCGGACGGGUGAGUAAUGUCUGGGAAACUGCCCGAUGGAGGGGGAUAACUACUGGCAACGGUAGCUACUACCGCAUACCAUCAGAUGUGCCCAGAUGGGAUUAGCUUGUUGGUGGGGUAACGGCUCACCAAGGCGACGAUCCCUAGCUGGUCUGAGAGGAUGACCCGCCACACUGGAACUGAGACACGGUCCAGACGCCUACGGGAGGCAGCAGUGGGGAAUAUUGCACAAUGGGCGUAAGCCUGAUGCAGCCAUGCCGCGGGGAUGAAGAAGGCCGUCGGGGUGGAAAGUACUUUCAGCGGGGAGGCGUUACUCGCAGAAGAAGCACCGGCUAACUCCGUGCCAGCAGCCGCGGUAAUAC